UAGCUGGUUUUGUUAUAAAUUCAUUAGAACUCCUUCCUUCUUUCAUAUUUUCAUAGCUGCUAGGCCACACGAUUCUUGAGCACUACAGUAUUCUUUUGAAUUCUGGUCUCUUGGCAGUGCCUGAUUCUUUGGUCAUAAUUUCUAAGACUGUUCUUUUGACUGCUCCAUUUAUGUCCAGAUCUCACUUGUAAGACAUAAAAGGGCUCAUUUCUGCCAGUUCACCCUCAACCAAAGGAAAAGUUUAAUAUUGUUGUAGUGAUUUAAUAUGAUGUCUAGAACAGAAGCAUUUAAAAAUAACUCACCAAGCACUAAACUCGAUUUUUUAGCAUUCACAUGACAUGCUACUUACCAUUAGCUUUCUCUUUUUAUUUUUAAAAUAUUUCAUUGAUUUUCUAUUUUUAAAGUAGUUAAUUGGGCCAGUGUGAUGAUGCCCACUUUUAAUUAGUCCUUGAAGGUUGAGGUGGGGCAACUGUAGUUUGAGUUUGGCCUACACAGGAAGACUCAGUUGCAAAAGGAAAAGACAUUAAUUGGUAAAUAAAAAUGGUACAUAUUCAAGUGUAUAACAUGGGUUAUCUACCUGUUUUGAAAAUGUGUUCAUUGUGUGUGCAUGACAUGUUUAACACAUGCUUGGGGCAGAGGGUAGCUUGGUGGAGGAACCCAGCACCUCAUGCAUUCAAGAUCAACACUGCCACCAAGCUAUGUUCUCAGCCCCUAUUUUUUUUAAAUCUUUAUAAUUGCUCUCUAUUUAAGUUUUUCAUUGUGCCUUCUCCAAAGUAUCAACUUGAUUUUUUACAACUCCAAAGAAAUGUCAUGUUGGAUGCUGCCAUCAAAAUCUGAUGCUUCAAAAUGUAGGUUAUACAGGUAACAUUGGUACAAGAUAGAAAUGCAGCAACAAAAG
rnacentral:lncRNA from 1 species